rnacentral:rRNA from 1 species
GAAUCAUUGGGUUUAAAGGGUCCGUAGGUGGAUAAUUAAGUCAGAGGUGAAAGUUUGCGGCUCAACCGUAAAAUUGCCUUUGAUACUGGUUAUCUUGAAUUAUUGUGAAGUGGUUAGAAUAUGUAGUGUAGCGGUGAAAUGCAUAGAUACCAGAAGGAACACCUAUUGCGAAGGCAGCUUGCUGCAGAUAAACUGACGCUGAUGCACGAAAGCGUGGGGAGCGAACAGG